UCCACGUAUUCCUCCCUGUGCAUAGUCAACACACGGUCAGAUGCACACGGCCAGAACCAACGAGAGUAGUGGCGGCCGUAUACACUCCGACGGUCAAAUUAGUCUCAGGUGGUCGGAAUAAUACCAAGGUUAUGCUAAAUAAGGGGGAGGAGAAUAUAUAUUUGCUUGCUAUAGAAAGUUAUGUUGUAAGAGUUUCAUUACCCUUGCCUCUUGUCAAAAUUUGGGUAUUUAUAGGUGAGGAGAACCGUUGGAUGUGAGACACGUGUAUGCAUCUGACUGUGUGAAGCGUCUGCUCAUAGGCGUCAAUCAGUCGCAUCCAUAGAGUGGGCAGGCAAUUACUUCUUUCGAGUUGAGUUGACAUAAAGAUGAUACGUCAAAUCAAUUGAACCUUAGAGGCAGAAAGGAUCUUGACAUAGAUCUCUUUCUGAAAUUAGCGACGGGUCUUCUGAUAGAGAAUCUUGGAAUGAAUUGAGCCUCGGCUUCAGGUGCGAGGACGCUUCGAUUGGUUCAAUAGAUAACGCACUUCGACAGUAUUGGUGGUGGCAUCACUUUGGAACCACUUCGGUUGGGUGUUGGACGCCUCGUAUAACGCGGUGGUAGACUUUUCGAAGUGGUUUAGAUUGGGGCGUAACAGUAGUCUCCCCAAGUUCAGGUAUGAAUAUUUAUAUUAUGGGUGGACUUGUUUUUCUGAUCGGGUAUGUCCGCCUUGGGAUGGGGACCACGAUCUGUGAGGGCUUAUGGGUCAAAUUCCUAUGUUCACCAAAGCGUUGACCACAGGCAGACGCGCUAAAGAUUUAUUACUGCGUAAGGGAAAAACUUAUCCGAGGCCGAUAUGCUACCAAUUGGACGAUGUGUUAGGAGAUCGAUAGAGCUUUAUAAAGCAGCUUUCCAGGCGAUGACCCACAGGGGGUUCGGCAUCAGAUGCGUCUAAGCUUUGUAAAGCUGUGUGAAGAGCUCAUCCGCCACCGGUACGUUGACCCACAGGGGACGACGCGUUGGGAGAUGACUAAAGCUUUGUAAAGCUUAGGAGGGGACGUAGCUUUCGAGGCGAUGACCCACAAGGGAGCUCCGUGUCAGAUACGUCUAAGCUUUGUAAAGCUAUAUGAAGAGCUCAUCUGCCACCGGUGCAUUGAACCAUUGGGAACAACGCGUUGGGAGAUGGUUAAAACUUUGUAAAACUUAGGAGGGAACACAGCUUCCGAGGUGAUGACCCACAGGGGGGCUCCGCAUCAGAUGCGUCUAAGUUUUGUAAAGCUGUGUGAAGAAUUCAAUCUACCACCGGUGCGUUGACCCACAGGGGACGACGCGUUGGGAGAUGGCUAAAGUUUUGUAAAGCUUAGGAGGGAACACAACAUCUACGGCGAUGAUCCACAGGGGGGCUCCGCAUCAGAUGCGUCUAAACUUUGUAAAGCUGUGUGAAGAGCUCAAUCUGAGGCGGGCAUGUCUGAUUUUAAAUGAUUAGACAGCUGUCACGUAUUUUCAAGGUGACAGUUGAGCACGAUGCCCAUUCCCAGAAAAGGCUACUGCGGCUACUUAGUGAUCAAGGCAAUGCGUUUCGCAAGAGCAUGAAGGUCACAACUAGAUCUUAAGCAUAUAUCAAAUAUGGCAUUUCGUUUCAAUGGCCAAGAUUGAUGAUGCGACGAAUAGCCUAGAUUGAUUGCAUUUGAAUUCAACGGUGUAGAUGAGCUGGGACGCUCUAUAAAAGGCAGACUUGAGGGAUUUUGGAGCUUUUCACUUUUGCGAAAUUGAAAUCCCUAUACACUCUCAAAACCUUUGUGUUUUUCGACAAUCUUCAAGUAAUUUUAGACGAAAAUUCCCAGUUUUCGGUGACUCACAUUGUUUCUCGAUCGUUUUCGACUGUUGGACAUUUCGUUUUUCAAAAGUUUCAGUAAGUAUUUGAAAAUUUUCAUUUCUAAAAAAUGGCUUCUUAGGGUAGUGGUAGUUCGGGUAGGGGGUUGGAACUAGUGAGGGUGAAUGAGCCCAUUUUGGAGACCUCCUCUGAGAUAGCCGAGGUGAUUAUUGGGGGGAGAACAUAUGGAAGAGGCCAGAUAGCCCGACUAACACAUCUGUACAUUGGGGGCGUCGGAUUACCCCUCUAAGCUAAAGGUUGCCAACCUCGAAAGACUUAGGGUUGAGUAUAGGAUCCCAGAUAUUGUAGAUCUGAUCCUACCAGAACCUGAUGAGCGGGUCUGUUACCUUAGGCCGGGGUGCAUGGCAAUAAGCAAGGUGAUCCUUAGGGCAGGCCUUAGGCUUCCAAUCCACCCUUUCUUCCAUAUGGUACUUAGGUCAUACGGCUUAACUCCUACCCAACUGAACCUGAACUCCUGGAGCCAAAUGGUGGGCUCCUGGAUGUUGUUGUAGAAGGCGUCGCUUGGUGUGGAGAUGCCUUUCUCCGUAUUUCAGACCCUCUACAUCCCUAAGGUAGCGGCUGUGGGGAUAAGACUAGGGGAUAGUACUACUUGACCUCAUGGGGUUCCCACACUCCAUUCGUGCUCGAUCUACCAAGCUCCAUCAAGGAGUGUAAGAGCUCGUGGUGCUGGGCUGUUGGGAGAUGGGACACGAUGGAAGGGGACCCCUUGGCGUCUCUUACGGUCCCCACAAAGUAUUCGACGCUUAGUGAGUAUUGUGAUUUUACGUUUCUUGUUUACUUUUCCUCAGUUCGGUACUUAACUGUUCUGUUUGCUUUUGAAGGUUCUCUUUCUCGGUACGAGCUUUCGACCGACGACUUCGACAUCAUCUGCAUUAUUUAUCAGCUGCCUUCGAAGAAGAGGUCGUUCCACCAGUUGAUAAGGAAAAAUGUUCACUUCGUGACACACGAUUUGAUGGCUUCUCAAGGUAAAUGUCCCAAAAUGAAUUCCUUCAGUACUUUCUGAACUCUUUAUACUUGUACUAAUUUGCCUGUUCCUUUGUAGAUAACUUUUAAGAAGCUAUCUCUGCGGCAAGAUUUCAAGACCAUCCAAAGGUUGAUGGCCGAGGCGAGAGCCUUGAAGACCUCCUCAUCUGCAUAAAAAAAGCAGAUGGAGGAUCUGGUGGAGGCCAGUAAGAGGCUCCAGCCUCCCAUCGAAGAGGAGGUGGUGGAGGACCGAGACGCCAAUCUGCUGCGGAAAGGGAAGAAGUCCGUCGCCUUCUCAAAGUGCCCAACUGUGGCGAGGCCACCUCCGGCUAUGAGGCAGAUGACCAUUCCAACCGGGGUGGUUAUCCCGUAGAAGAGGCUUGCGUCUUCCGAGGCUUCUCCAGCCCCGGCCACAUCGCCAGUCGUCACUCUGCCCAUUGCUCAAGUGCCGGGGCAGCAAAAGAAGAAAAUGGUUCGUCCCUCGAAAGAGGUGGACUUCUUGGGCAUCAAUUCCAAGGAACCAGUGAAGGAAGUUUUGGAGGCUCUUCCUCCAGAGACGGCUACAGUGGUGGUGGUCCACAAUAAAUAUUGGACUGAUGAAUGGAGAGAUCACACCGCCUCCUGCAUUGUCGAGGACCUGGUUACAGCCAACAGUGCUUGUGUGGCUUGGGCCUUAAGCACCAGCAUCCAACUUGAGUGCUUGGUAAAAGAACUCAAUGCAAAGAGGGAGGACCUCGCUAAGUGCCUUGAGGAGGCGAUGCAUUAUGGUGACGAGGUGAGAGAGGCCCGGGCCAAGGCCAAGGAGGAAGGAACGAGGCUGAGGCCCAGCUAGGGGUUGCGAAU
rnacentral:lncRNA from 1 species